rnacentral:rRNA from 1 species
AUUGAACGCUGGCGGCAGGCCUAACACAUGCAAGUCGAGCGGAGCGGCGGACGGGUGAGUAAUGCCUAGGAAUCUGCCUGGUAGUGGGGGAUAACGUCCGGAAACGGGCGCUAAUACCGCAUCUAUCAAGAGGAGCCUAGGCGGGAUUAGCUAGUUGGUGGGGUAAAGGCCGACAAAGGCGACGAUCCGUAACUGGUCUGAGAGGAUGAUCAGUCACACUGGAACUGAGACACGGUCCAGACUCCUACGGGAGGCAGCAGUGGGGAAUAUUGGACAAUGGGCGAAAGCCUGAUCCAGCCAUGCCGCGUGUGUGAAGAAGGUCUUCGGAUUGUAAAGCACUUUAAGUUGGGAGGCGUUACCAACAGAAUAAGCACCGGCUAACUUCGUGCCAGCAGCCGCGGUAAUUC